GAUACUACAAGAAAGGUUUAAAAGUCUAUCCAUUUAGGAUGAUCGUCCUGGACAGUACUGGAAUGGGAGCAUAUUUCCAAUGAGACUAACUCAAGGAUCGUGGGGUAGACAUUUUAUAAAAAGGCAAGUUCUCCAGUCUACUUAUGGAACGGAAGACAAAUGAAGGCAGUGGAACGAAUGGUACAUCUUCCAGUGUAGUCACCAGACGAGGACCACAUUUUCUUUGGAAUCGUCCUUCCAGGAUCAUGCGGACAUCCAGGAGAGGCCUUCUUCAGGACCCCUCGCCUCUUCAAGGACGCCGUCCAUCAACGGGGGUCAUUUCUAACGGGUGAGGAUAGCUCCCAACGGUAAGGUUCAUCUUUCAACGGCUGGAGCCGUCUUCCCAUGGUAAGAAAUCCCUUUCAACGGCGACGACCACCACUCGUAGGUAAGACUUAUCCCUUCGCGAACCGGAACACCUUCAAGUUGUUUGAAGGUGAUCCUCUCUGUGGAAGGGUGGCACUUGUGUCACUUCUUCCUCAGAUAAGAUCAUCUUCAAGCAACUUGGUGGUGAUUUCUGUUUGCGCAGGUAUAAGUCAAGCCUUCGAAUGGGGAUCUAAGUCGUUGAAGGUGCUUCUAACCACCGGGAAGACCGCUUGCGGCCAUUGAAAGGUGGCAGUUACCACUUGGGGGGUAUCCAAACCUGCUGGAAAUGACCCCGCGCGCGGACAGGGGACGCACGUCCCCCACCGGCUUCGAAUAACAAAAACCUUCGACGUAGGGAUG